rnacentral:rRNA from 1 species
ACUCCUACGGGAGGCAGCAGUGGGAAUGAUUGCGACAAUGGGGAAACCCUGAUGCAGCCAUGCCGCGUGUGUGAAGAAGGCCUUCGGGUUGUAAAGCACUUUCAGUAGGGAGGAAGGUAGUGUAGUUAACACUGCAUUAUUUGACGUUACCUACAGAAGAAGCACCGGCUAACUCCGUGCCAGCAGCCGCGGUAAUACGGAGGGUGCGAGCGUUAAUCGGAAUUACUGGGCGUAAAGCGCAUGCAGGCGGCCUGUUAAGUCAGAUGUGAAAGCCCGGGGCUUAACCUCGGAAUUGCAUUUGAAACUGGCAGGCUAGAGUCUUGUAGAGGGGGGUAGAAUUUCAGGGUGUAGCGGUGAAAUGCGUAGAGAUCUGAAGGAAUACCAGUGGCGAAGGCGGCCCCCUGGACAAAGACUGACGCUCAGAUGCGAAAGCGUGGGGAGCAAACAGGAUUAGAUACCCUGGUAGCUA